rnacentral:rRNA from 1 species
UACAGAGGUCCCAAGCGUUGUUCGGAUUCACUGGGCGUAAAGGGUGCGUAGGUGGCGAGGUAAGUUUGAUGUGAAAGCUCCGGGCUCAACCCGGAAAUGGCAUUGAAUACUCUCUCGCUAGAGGAUUGGAGGGGAGUCUGGAAUUCUCGGUGUAGCAGUGAAAUGCGUAGAUAUCGAGAGGAACACCAGUGGCGAAGGCGAGACUCUGGACAAUUCCUGACACUGAGGCACGAAGGCCGGGGGACCAACCGGGAUUAGAUCCCCCGGGGGCCCUGGCCCUAAACGGUGAACGUUUGCUGUGGGCGGAAUCGACCCCGCCUGUGGCGUAGCUAACGCGAUAAACGUGCCGCCUGGGGAGUACGGUCGCAAGAUUA